rnacentral:lncRNA from 1 species
UUAUUGUUAGGGAAAACUUCAAGUACCACCCUUGUGGUUUCUCACUUUUUCAUUUUUGUACCCUGUGAUUUUUUUUUUGUUAUUUCCUCCACUAUUUUUUUUUUCAUUAAAUUAGUGACAAAGUUAAAACUUAGGGGUAUUAAAGUGAAUAUUUGAUAAACUAUAUGUGGGAUAUCUGAAGUUUUUUUAUGUGAUUUAAUAAAAAAUUAACAGAGGGCUGACAAAAUAAAUAAAUAAAUAAAAUCAUAGAGUACUAAAUUGAUACACUUUAAAUUGUAGGGUACUAAAAUAAGAAAAUAUAAAACCACAAGUGUGGUAUUUAAAGGUUUUCCUUGUUAUUAUUA